rnacentral:rRNA from 1 species
GACGAACGCUGGCGGCGUGCUUAACACAUGCAAGUCGUACGGUAAGGCCCUUUCGGGGGUACACGAGUGGCGAACGGGUGAGUAACACGUGAGUAACCUGCCCACAACUUUGGGAUAACGCUAGGAAACUGGUGCUAAUACUGGAUAUGUGCUCCUGCUGCAUGGUGGGGGUUGGAAAGCUCCGGCGGUUGUGGAUGGACUCGCAGCCUAUCAGCUUGUUGGUGGGGUAGUGGCCUACCAAGGCGGCGACGGGUAGCCGGCCUGAGAGGGUGACCGGCCACAUUGGGACUGAGAUACGGCCCAGACUCCUACGGGAGGCAGCAGUGGGGAAUAUUGCACAAUGGGCGCAAGCCUGAUGCAGCAACGCCGCGUGCGGGAGGACGGCCUUCGGGUUGUAAACCGCUUUCAGCAGGGACGAAGCUUUUUGUGACGGUACCUGCAGAAGAAGCACCGGCUAACUACGUG